rnacentral:tmRNA from 1 species
GGGGGCGACGAGGUUUCGACGGGGACAGGUCGGGUCCCGAGGAGCAGGCCGGGUGGCACCCGUAACAGCCAAGCGCAACAGCUCCCGAAGCUGAGCUCGCAAUGGCUGCCUAAUUGACGGCAGCCCGUCCUUAGGUGGCUCGCACCCGGCUACCUAAGGGCGUCAAAUUAGGGUGCUGGGGCUUUGUCCCUUGCCCGUCGGGGGCAAAGCCGACAUCUUAGACGGGACCCCUUGCGGGAGUUUGCCGGUGGACGCCCGCAAGGCGGUAUAAAACACCGGCUAAGCCUGUAGAGCCUCGGAGACCCGGCGUCUCCGGACGCGGGUUCGAUUCCCGCCGCCUCCACUG